rnacentral:sRNA from 1 species
UUCGUCAGGAGUUUCUUCGACAAGAAGACCAGCUUCAGGACUAUAGGAAGAACAAUACUUACCUUGUGAAGAGGUUAGAAUAUGAAAGUUUUCAGUGUGGACAGCAGAUCAAGGAAUUGAGAGCACAACAUGAAGAAAAUAUUAAAAAGUUAGCAGACCAGUUUUUACAGGAACAAAAGCAAGAGGCCCACAAGAUUCAAUCAAAUGAUGGAAAAGAAUUGGAUAUAAACGAUCAAGUAGUACCUAAAAAUAUUCCAAAAGUAGCUGAGAAUGUUGCAGAUAAGAAUGAAGAACCCUCAAGCAAUCAUAUUCCACAUGGGAAAGAACAAAUCAAAAGAGGUGGUGAUGCAGGGAUGCCUGGAAUAGAAGAGAAUGACCUAGCAAAAGUUGAUGAUCUUCCCCCUGCAUCCAGGAAAAGCUUUUAGGUUUUUUGUGUGUGUGUGUGCGUGUGAGACAGAGUCUCGCUCUGUUGUCCAGGCUGAAGUAUAGUAGCGUGAUCUCGGCUCACUGCAACCUGCGCCUCCUGGGUUCAAGCAAUUCUCCUGUCUCAGCCUCCCAAGUAGCUGAGAUUACAGGCGCCCGCCACCAUGCCUGGCUAAUUUUUUGUAUUUUUAGUAGAGAUGGGGUUUCAACAUGUUGGCCAGGCUGGUCUUGAACUCCUGACCUCAGGUCAUCCACCC